rnacentral:rRNA from 1 species
UUUACGGAGAGUUUGAUCCUGGCUCAGGACGAACGCUGGCGGCGUGCUUAACACAUGCAAGUCGAACGAUGAUCAGGAGCUUGCUCCUGUGAUUAGUGGCGAACGGGUGAGUAACACGUGAGUAACCUGCCCCUGACUCUGGGAUAAGCGUUGGAAACGACGUCUAAUACUGGAUAUGACUACUGGUCGCAUGGCCUGGUGGUGGAAAGAUUUUUUGGUUGGGGAUGGACUCGCGGCCUAUCAGCUUGUUGGUGAGGUAAUGGCUCACCAAGGCGACGACGGGUAGCCGGCCUGAGAGGGUGACCGGCCACACUGGGACUGAGACACGGCCCAGACUCCUACGGGAGGCAGCAGUGGGGAAUAUUGCACAAUGGGCGAAAGCCUGAUGCAGCAACGCCGCGUGAGGGAUGACGGCCUUCGGGUUGUAAACCUCUUUUAGUAGGGAAGAAGCGAAAGUGACGGUACCUGCAGAAAAAGCACCGGCUAACUACGUGCCAGCAGCCGCGGUAAUACGUAGGGUGCAAGCGUUGUCCGGAAUUAUUGGGCGUAAAGAGCUCGUAGGCGGUUUGUCGCGUCUGCUGUGAAAUCCCGAGGCUCAACCUCGGGCUUGCAGUGGGUACGGGCAGACUAGAGUGCGGUAGGGGAGAUUGGAAUUCCUGGUGUAGCGGUGGAAUGCGCAGAUAUCAGGAGGAACACCGAUGGCGAAGGCAGAUCUCUGGGCCGUAACUGACGCUGAGGAGCGAAAGCAUGGGGAGCGAACAGGAUUAGAUACCCUGGUAGUCCAUGCCGUAAACGUUGGGCGCUAGAUGUAGGGACCUUUCCACGGUUUCUGUGUCGUAGCUAACGCAUUAAGCGCCCCGCCUGGGGAGUACGGCCGCAAGGCUAAAACUCAAAGGAAUUGACGGGGGCCCGCACAAGCGGCGGAGCAUGCGGAUUAAUUCGAUGCAACGCGAAGAACCUUACCAAGGCUUGACAUACACCGGAAACGGCCAGAGAUGGUCGCCCCCUUGUGGUCGGUGUACAGGUGGUGCAUGGUUGUCGUCAGCUCGUGUCGUGAGAUGUUGGGUUAAGUCCCGCAACGAGCGCAACCCU